UUUGCUAUGAUGUUAUGUUACUGCCCCAGUCUGACUAGAAUAUGACUGAUUCAGUUAUUCUGACAUA